CAAUGAGCAGAAACCAGUUAGUGUGGUGCUUAGGUCCAAUCAAGGAUUGCUGUUAUAUCACUGGUGCCCUCCUUGCACCAACAGUCCUCAGUGAUUCUGAGCAGCCUAAUCAUUGAUGUUCCCUCCUGCCUUGUGGUCAGACCUGUCCCAGCCCUCUGGCCCCUCCCUCUCUCCUCCCAGCCUCUUUCUCACUAGUAACUGCAGGUGCCUCUGGGAAACAGACACUCAGGUCUUAACCUGCCCUCUUCAACACACCCAGACAGUCUCUUCCUAGCAGGUGCCGCCAGGAGGUCACCCAGGGUUUCUCUUCACCAGGUGGGAGCCAGAACCAUGCUGUGUCCCCUUGCCAUCCUGUGUGCUCUCCUGUUUCCAGGUGGUGGAGCAGGGCUCAAGCUGCGUCAGACUGCUUUGUUGGUGGCACGUGUGGGCAGUUCAUGUUCUCUGGAUUGCCAAGUGGACAGCUUGGUCAGCUACAUCCACUGGUACCGCCACCAGGAGGGUACGGCACCGAAGAGGCUCCUCUACCUAGACAUGUCCAGGUCCCUUGUGCAACGGGAUUUUGUCCUGAAAGCAGACAAAGUUUAUGCCCAGAAGGGCAAGGAUAGCUACAGCUGCACUCUGUCACUGCUGAAACUAGAGAAAAGCGACGAAGGCGUGUACUACUGCGCUGCCUGGGCAUACCACAGCCCUUAUGGCUGGUUGGCCAUAAAAGUGUUUGGUCCUGGCACAUUGCUCAGGGUUACAGAUAAAACUCCUGAUGAAGAUAUUUCUCCCAAGCCCACAGUUUUUCUUCCUUCAGUUGCUGAAAUAAAAGUCCAUAAGGCUGGCACAUAUCUUUGUCUUCUUGAGGAUUUUUUCCCGGAUGUUAUCAAGGUAGAUUGGCAAGAAAAGGAUGACAAAACAAUUCUGAAAUCCCAGCAGGGAGACACCAUGAAGACUAAGGACACAUACAUGAAAUUCAGCUGGCUGACCGUGACUGGAGCGUCAAUAGAUAAAGAACACAAAUGUAUCAUCAACCAUCAAAGUAAUAGCAGAGAAGUUGUUCAAGAGAUUAUUUUUCCUUCAAUAAACAAAGGUUUGAUGGCUGUGACAGAAUCUGAAAUGGACUCCCAGGGACAUUCAGAAACAAAGCGAAACACAGAGGUGGUGACCGUGAGUCCUUUGAAUUCAGGAUAUUUCUCACCUGAUCCAAUGGCUGUGGAGUUUGCUGCUAUUAACUCCACAAAAUCUUCUCUGAAUGAUGAAAAUGACACCCUGCAGCUGCAACUUGGGAACACAUCUGCCUACUAUACCUACCUCCUCCUCCUCCUGAAGAGCCUGGUCUACUCCGUCUUCCUUGUCAUCUGUCUGCUUGGGAUACCAGCACUCAGUGGCAGUGGGAAGAGUUCCUAACACAUGGUGGCACAAGGCUUACAAACCCCUGGGCAAACAGAAGCUUUCACUCUGCAGCUAGAACAAAUUCUUCCAUGACUCUGGGCUGGAGUCAAGGGGCAUCCACAGAGUCUUCUGCACCACCCCCUCAUUGUUGUCCACACGC